rnacentral:rRNA from 1 species
GACGAACGCUGGCGGCGUGCUUAACACAUGCAAGUCGAACGGAAAGGCCCUGCUUUUGUGGGGUGCUCGAGUGGCGAACGGGUGAGUAACACGUGAGUAACCUGCCCUUGACUUUGGGAUAACUUCAAGAAACUGGGGCUAAUACCGGAUAGGAGCUCCUGCUGCAUGGUGGGGGUUGGAAAGUUUCGGCGGUUGGGGAUGGACUCGCGGCUUAUCAGCUUGUUGGUGGGGUAGUGGCUUACCAAGGCUUUGACGGGUAGCCGGCCUGAGAGGGUGACCGGCCACAUUGGGACUGAGAUACGGCCCAGACUCCUACGGGAGGCAGCAGUGGGGAAUAUUGCACAAUGGGCGGAAGCCUGAUGCAGCAACGCCGCGUGCGGGAUGACGGCCUUCGGGUUGUAAACCGCUUUCGCCUGUGACGAAGCGUGAGUGACGGUAAUGGGUAAAGAAGCACCGGCUAACUACGUGCCAGCAGCCGCGGUGAUACGUAGGGUGCGAGCGUUGUCCGGAUUUAUUGGGCGUAAGGGGCUCGUAGGUGGUUGAUCGCGUCGGAAGUGUAAUCUUGGGGCUUAACCCUGAGCGUGCUUUCGAUACGGGUUGACUUGAGGAAGGUAGGGGAGAAUGGAAUUCCUGGUGGAGCGGUGGAAUGCGCAGAUAUCAGGAGGAACACCAGUGGCGAAGGCGGUUCUCUGGGCCUUUCCUGACGCUGAGGAGCGAAAGCGUGGGGAGCGAACAGGCUUAGAUACCCUGGUAGUCCACGCUGUAAACGGUGGGUACUAGGUGUGGGGUCCAUUCCACGGGUUCCGUGCCGUAGCUAACGCUUUAAGUACCCCGCCUGGGGAGUACGGCCGCAAGGCUAAAACUCAAAGGAAUUGACGGGGCCCCGCACAAGCGGCGGAGCAUGCGGAUUAAUUCGAUGCAACGCGUAGAACCUUACCUGGGUUUGACAUGGAUCGGGAGUGCUCAGAGAUGGGUGUGCCUCUUUUGGGGUCGGUUCACAGGUGGUGCAUGGCUGUCGUCAGCUCGUGUCGUGAGAUGUUGGGUUAAGUCCCGCAACGAGCGCAACCCUUGUUCACUGUUGCCAGCACGUUAUGGUGGGGACUCAGUGGAGACCGCCGGGGUCAACUCGGAGGAAGGUGGGGAUGACGUCAAGUCAUCAUGCCCCUUAUGUCCAGGGCUUCACGCAUGCUACAAUGGCUGGUACAGAGAGUGGCGAGCCUGUGAGGGUGAGCGAAUCUCGGAAAGCCGGUCUCAGUUCGGAUUGGGGUCUGCAACUCGACCUCAUGAAGUCGGAGUCGCUAGUAAUCGCAGAUCAGCAACGCUGCGGUGAAUACGUUCCCGGGGCU